AUUGAACGCUGGCGGCAGGCCUAACACAUGCAAGUCGAACGAGUGGCGGACGGGUGAGUAAUGUCUGGGAAACUGCCUGAUGGAUGGGGAUAACUACUGGAAACGGUAGCUAAUACCGCAUACCAUCGGAUGUGCCCAGAUGGGAUUAGCUGGUAGGUGGGGUACAGGCUCACAUAGGCGACGAUCCCUAGCUGGUCUGCGAGGAUGACCAGCCACACUGGAACUGAGACACGGUCCAGACGCCUACGGGAGGCAGCAGUGGGGAAUAUUGCACAAUGGGCGCAAGCCUGAUGCAGCCAUGCCGCGUGUAUGAAGAAGGCAUUCGGGGUGUAAAGUACUUUCAGCGGGGAGGCGUUACCCGCAGAAGAAGCACCGGCUAACUCCGUGCCAGCAGCCGCGGUAAUUC
rnacentral:rRNA from 1 species